rnacentral:rRNA from 1 species
GACGAACGCUGGCGGCGUGCUUAACACAUGCAAGUCGAACGGAAAGGCCCUGCUUUUGUGGGGCUCUCGAGUGGCGAAGGGGGGAGUAACACGUGAGUAACCUGCCCUUGUCUUUGGGAUAACUUCAGGAAACUCGGGCUCUUAUCCGAUAUAAUCUCCUGCUCCGCGUGGGGCGUUGGAAAGUUUCGGCGGUGGUGGCUGGUCUCGCUGCUUAUGCGCUACUUUGUGGGGUUGGUGAUGACAAAGCCUUCGACGGGUAGCCGGCCUGAGAGGGUGACCGGCGACAUUGGGACUGAGGGACGGACCAGAAUCCUACGGGAGGCAGAAGUGGGGAAUAUUGCACAAUGGGCGGAAGCCUGAUGCAGCAACGCCGCGUGCGGGAUGCCGGCCUACGGGUUGUGAACCGCUUUCGACUGUGACGAAGCGUGAGUGACGGUAAUGGGUAAAGAAGCACCGGCUAACUACGUG